AUUGAACGCUGGCGGCAGGCCUAACACAUGCAAGUCGAGCGGCAGCGGGAAAGUAGCUUGCUACUUUUGCCGGCGAGCGGCGGACGGGUGAGUAAUGCCUGGGAAAUUGCCCAGUCGAGGGGGAUAACAGUUGGAAACGACUGCUAAUACCGCAUACGCCCUACGGGGGAAAGCAGGGGACCUCCGGGCCCUGCGCGAUCGGCAAUGCCCAGGUGGGAUUAGCUAGUUGGUGAGGUAAUGGCUCACCAAGGCGACGAUCCGUAGCUGGUCUGAGAGGAUGAUCAGCCACACUGGAACUGAGACACGGUCCAGACUCCGACGGGAGGCAGCAGUGGGGAAUAUUGCACAAUGGGGGAAACCCUGAUGCAGCCAUGCCGCGUGUGUGAAGAAGGCCUUCGGGUUGUAAAGCACUUUCAGCGAGGAGGAAAGGUUGAUGCCUAAUACGUAUCAACUGUGACGUUACUCGCAGAAGAAGCACCGGCUAACUCCGUGCCAGCCGCCGCCGUAA
rnacentral:rRNA from 1 species